rnacentral:tRNA from 1 species
UCCCUGGUGACCUAGUGGUUGAGGAUCUGGCAUUGUCACUGCUGUGGCUCAGGUUUGAUCCCUGGCUUGGGAA